GGUUAACUCCGGGCACGCAGGCGGGGUAAUAGUGGGGUGGGGAGGGUUAAUGUGAAUUGCUGGGCUUAAAGAGCAUGCAGGUGGUUUGUUAAGUCAGAUGUGAGAGCCCGGGGCGCAACCUCGGAAUUGCAUUUGAAACUGGCAGGCUUGAGGACGGUAGAGGAAGACGGAACUGCCAGUGUAGGGGUAAAAUCCUUAGAUAUUGGCAGGAACGCCGGUGACGAAGGUGGUUUUCUGGGCCGGUUCUGACACUGAUGCUCGAAAGCCAGGGGAGCGAACGGGAUUAGAUACCCCAGUAUC
rnacentral:rRNA from 1 species